GACGAACGCUGGCGGCGUGCUUAACACAUGCAAGUCGAACGGAAAGGCCCUGCUUUUGUGGGGUGCUCGAGUGGCGAACGGGUGAGUAACACGUGAGUAACCUGCCCUUGACUUUGGGAUAACUUCAGGCAACUGGGGCUAAUACCGGAUAGGAGCUCCUGCUGCAUGGUGGGGGUUGGAAAGUUUCGGCGGUUGGGGAUGGACUCGCGGCUUAUCAGCUUGUUGGUGGGGUAGUGGCUUACCAAGGCUUUGACGGGUAGCCGGCCUGAGAGGGUGACCGGCCACAUUGGGACUGAGAUACGGCCCAGACGCCUACGGGGGGCAGCAGUGGGCAAUAUUGCACAAUGGGCGGAGGCCUGAUGCAGCAACGCCGCGUGCGGGAUGACGGCCUUCGGGUUGUAAACCGCUUUCGCCUGUGACGAAGCGUGAGUGACGGUAAUGGGUAAAGAAGCACCGGCUAACUACGUG
rnacentral:rRNA from 1 species